UGAAAGAGGCAAGGUCUGCAGUGGC
rnacentral:piRNA from 1 species